rnacentral:rRNA from 1 species
UAGGGAAUCUUCGGCAAUGGACGAAAGUCUGACCGAGCAACGCCGCGUGAGUGAAGAAGGUUUUCGGAUCGUAAAACUCUGUUGGUAGAGAAGAACGUUGGUGAGAGUGGAAAGCUCAUCAAGUGACGGUAACUACCCAGAAAGGGACGGCUAACUACGUGCCAGCAGCCGCGGUAAUACGUAGGUCCCGAGCGUUGUCCGGAUUUAUUGGGCGUAAAGCGAGCGCAGGUGGUUUAUUAAGUCUGGUGUAAAAGGCAGUGGCUCAACCAUUGUAUGCAUUGGAAACUGGUAGACUUGAGUGCAGGAGAGGAGAGUGGAAUUCCAUGUGUAGCGGUGAAAUGCGUAGAUAUAUGGAGGAACACCGGUGGCGAAAGCGGCUCUCUGGCCUGUAACUGACACUGAGGCUCGAAAGCGUGGGGAGCAAACNGGAUUAGAUACCCGCGUAGUCCCUGAGCGGGCUGGCAAGGCGCAU